CCCCCCCCCGUCACCAGGGCCGGCUUGUCCAAGGCCGAUUCCGGACCACCCAGCGGCACGCUCACAUGCCAGGGGUGUGGAUAGUGUGAAGCGUGCGGUCCUGGGCAAGGGGGCGGGAGCGUGGAGGCUGUCCUGCUGGACCUCAGCAUCCUCCACUGCAGCGAGGGCAGGAAGAUUGCCGGGGUCUGGAUUCCUCGCUGGGGUGCCGUCAUGAGGGACUAUCUAACAAUUCGCGAGAAUGUUUAUAGUUGUGCAGCCCUCAUGACGAGCACCCGCUUCCAGCUAUAUGAUGUCAAUCGGCGGACCCUGACGCAAUGGCACAACCAGAGGAGCAAGGCCAUGAUGAGGGACACCAUCGCCAUUGCAGUCCUGGGGCCCAGCACUCCCCAGACUGCAGCGG